UGUUUGGAAAACCAUACUCAAAAGUUGGCAGUUUUUCAAAUUACAUUUUAGCAUACACAUACAAAAAAUGAAUUGACAAAGGAAAAGAGAAGACAAUUGUUAUUAACCUCAAUAGAGAUAAUUUUGUAAUCAUUUUAUAUUUUUAUUUACACCACAAUAAUAACAAGUUGUCAUAAUGUGGUACAAAAUACUGAACUUCUAUUAAAGUUGAGAUUGAUGUUGGUAUAGUUAGAGAAAGACACCAUUGGUUAAAAAAAAAAGUAAAACAACGUAAUAAACAACAGGAAUGAGAGAGACCUAGGAAAAAAUAACCCAAAUUUCAAAUCUACUAAGAAAAAGGUCAUAAUAAAAUUUAAGUACAAAGAAUAUGCUACUAUAAUUUAAGGGGUUCAUACAAUUAAGAAUGAAAUUGUCUAAAUUACAGACUAAACUGGUAGCUGCUAUCAAUGGUGACUUACUGAGCAUGUAUAGGCAUAAAGCAGAAUAUAAUAAAGUUACAACUUUUCAUACUACAUAUUUGUAAUAAAUUCUUGGGUUAAUAGUUUUUCAACCCAUAUAUAUGGGUUACCACCAAUGUAAAGCACCAGAAGUGUUAAAUUAUUUUCCCCGGCCCUUACCGUUUAAUUAAUCUCAAAUACAAUAUGAAGCUGGGAGGAAACCAAGAUCAACUAUCACUAUGAAGAAACCAUUUCCUGCUGAUACAAAGUUUUGUUUCAAUCCACAGUGUUUGCACAGUACAGCACUGCUUAAAUGUCAAAAAUCUCUUUGAUAUAUAAUUCCUAGUAAUUUAAAAAGUAAUACAGCUGAGCUGAAGAGUUAACUCUUAAAGUUAUUGUCAUUUUAUCUGAGAAUUAAUAUAAACAGAAAUUAGCAUAGGCUUGCACCUUCUUUAACCCUUACAAAAAAACAGAAUUCUUCUCCCUCCUUCUCUAAAAAAAGAAAAUGACACAGGCAGUUGUGUGUUCAGCAUAGUUCUCCUAGAACAUUUCCACAUAAAUACAAUAUAUUCUAUUAUUGGUUUGUCACAAAUGCUAUUCUUUUAAAAUGACAAAUGUUUAAGUAGUCCUUUGUAUUUUUAAAAUUUUACAAUAAAAGCACAGGUCCUUAAUAAGUCCAAACAAACUUCUCUUUUCCAUGCUCCUUAUUUUUGUGUGACAUAAAACUUCCCAAACUUUAUCUCUGGCUAAUGCCAUUAGAAAGCUUUUUCCCAGAGCUGCCAAGUGUGGCGUGCAAAAUCUGUUUACACUAUAAAGGCAUGCCAACCUAACAGACCAUGCAACCUCAAUGUGUAUGAAACUUAAAAAAAUAUAUUCAUAUAUAUUUAUUUAUAUAUAUAUAUAUAUUUAUAUAUUUAUAUAUAUCAAUGCCCAUAAAAUGUGGGCCCAAAAGUUUAUAAAAGAAAAAAUGGAAUGAGUACAUGAUUAAUAAAAAGGAAUGUUUGUUUACUGAAAGUAAAAUAACAAUGAUAUACUCUAUUAUACUGUACUAUAAUCUGGAGCUCACUUUUAGGUAAUUCAGUUUUAAGAUGCUCCUGUUUUUCAACUGCUACAAGAGAAGAACUGUAGUAACUCACCCUACACCUUCAAAACUGGGUUAAUCAAAAUAACAUACAGAAUUUUGCUGGUGGAAUUUAGGUACCCCUUAUUUAUAGAAUAUAAAAAUGUGGUAAUUAGAGAUACAUUGUCAUACUCAGAUUGAGCUCUUUGAUUAUCCUUUUAUUAAUAAAAUUAUUUCCACCCUUAUAACACGCAUUUCUUUUCUCUCCUAGAAGAACUGCAGAAGAAAUCCAGUUUCAGGCUUGGAGUGAGAUUAUGCUAUAUCCAUUUUAAAUAGAACAUAACAACUACAACUGAAGAACUGAGAAAUUAUACAAUCAAUUUCCUGAUCUAAAAAUGACUGUGGAAUCCUUCCUUUUGAGAAAAGGGUUUUCUGAAAAUAACACAUACAGCAAUCUGCAACAUGCACAAGACUAUGAAAAGUGUUUUCUGUACAAAAAAGCUGGAAAUAAGCAAACUUCAGUGUAUAAGGAGAAAUUAUGCAUGUCCAGGAAAUGAUUAAUGUCUGGAAAUACAGUUCUCAAAUGAAAACCAAACAUGAAAAUCAAUGCAAAUAAGGCUGUUCUACAGCUUUAUACGAAAACUAAUGUAUUAUGAAGCAGCAGCAAAUAAUUAUUUGCCAGAAAUACUUCGUUUUUUAAAAGAGGGUCAACACUGAAGAACUUAAAAGUGAAAUAUUUAGGGUAGUUGCCCAGCGGCUAAAACGUUGGGCAUUUUAAAAACAUUUCAAACUGCACUUUGAAAAUGGGCAAGUUUCAAACUAGAUCCCCUUUCUUAACCUUUCAAUCCACCAAUCCUCUGCAAGGAACUUCCAAUGGUUGCCAUCUGCAUUUAUUUAUAUAGUUAAUAUAAAUGCACUAUAAAUAUUUAAUUAUUAAUUUGUAAGAGUCAUUUUUCUAAGCUUGGAAUAUAUUUAUAUUAUUCAUUAUACAGUGUAUAUAUAUAUUUAUACCUAAAAAAUUAAGCAAUAUCCCAUGCUAUCUGCUUUUAAUAAAAAGCAUUCCAUUUUUUAAAAAAAAAUUGCAAUUGUAUCUGUGCAUGCCUUUACAACCAAAUCGAUAAUUUAAAUGUUAUACAUAAUGUAUAGAAGACGACGUUGGAUUUUUUAAAAAUCAAUUAAUUUUAGAAACCCAACAGCAUUUGCCACAUUACUGGCAACUACCUUAAUUUUUUUAAAAUUUAAACAGCAAGGAAACAAAAUCCAAAAUAAACUUGUAGACUGUUUGGGAGAAGCUCUGGCCUUUGCUUGCUUUAAAUAAUCAUGCUAGCAGAAAUCCUAGAAUCUUUCUUGAUGAAUGCAGUUCUUGUCCUUCUCUGCCAGAGGAACUGCUGCAGAGGUCUUUUCUUUAAGGCAUAGUUCCUCACAAAUGUCAGGAAAAAACAGCUGCCCCAAAUCAGUCUAUUGUUUUAAAAGGCACAAACUCUUCCAAUGGCUUUGGCAAUGCUAAAGCCAAUCCCUUUUCUGGGCUAUCUUUCUUGUUUUUACAUUCUUCCUCUCCACAUUUAUAUAGUUUGCAUGUUAUGUAUAAAAAGCUUAAUUCUCUUUUUACCCUUCAUAAGAAGAAAAAUAACCCUCCUCAGGGUCUGGGUUUUGAAGAACAUCUCUUAUUCACAAGUACGCAAGAACCACAAAAAUAAUACAGAAACAAAAGUACAAUCUAGUUUGAGUGGUCUGUAUGUAAUCAAAUAUAAAGCACCAGUUUUAAAUGAAAACUGUCACGCCCAUGUUAAGUCUUUGAUUUUGAAACAACAGCAAAAGCUGGCAACUUUGCUAAAUAGUUCCCCAGCCUCUUUCCUCUUAUAGCUUCCAUUGAGGAAAAAAGGAAGAUUACUCAGUGCAUCUGUAAUUCAUAUUGCUGCUCUUCACCUGCAUUUUUCUUUUCUGUGAGCAUAAUCCAUACAAUAUGGAAAGACUAGGCUUUCUUUCAACAUGGCUGCCUUUCUGGAAGAAAAUCAGGGCAGGAUGCAGGUAUAACAAGAGAAAGCGUUCAGGCCUUCAAAGACAAGAUGAAUUUAACUGGAGCGCUUCAAACUAGAUGAACGCUACAGAAGAGGAUCUUCUUCCAUGGGCUCCUCAUCCAGCCUGUAAGCAAUUUCAUCAAGAGUAGUCAGAAUGAUAGAUCUGCGUGGCUCAGAACGAG